ACUCCGGGCCCGUGCUGGGCGGGAAGGCGGUGCCCGGGCCGAGGUGGCGGCGGCUCCUCAGAUGGGAGAAGAAGUUGUCCAUGUUCACACUGGGUGAAGGAAGCCGAAACCACAGACAUGACUGAGUCCUCCAUGAAGAAGCUGGCCUCCACCCUGCUGGAUGCCAUCACCGAUAAGGACCCCCUGGUGCAGGAGCAGGUCUGCAGUGCCUUGUGCUCCCUUGGGGAGGUGCGGCCGGUGGAGACGCUCCGUGCCUGCGAGGAGUACCUGCGGCAGCAUGACAAGCUGGUGCACCCAUACCGAGCGGCGGUCCUGAGGGCUAUGGAGAGGGUCCUGAGCAGUCGCGCCAGUGAGCUGGACAAGGACACAGCCAGCACCAUCAUCCUCCUGGCCUCCAACGAGAUGACCAAGACGAAGGACCUGGUCUGGGACUGGCAGCAGGCGGCGAGUGGUGUCCUGGUGGCCGUGGGAAAGCAGUUCAUCAGCAAGGUGAUGGAGGAGCUGCUGCGCAGGCUGCACCCCGGGACCCUGCCACACUGCGCCGUGCUGCACACCCUCGCCAGCCUCUCAGUGGCCAACGCGUUCGGCGUAGUCCCCUUCCUGCCAUCCGUCCUGAGCUCCCUGCUGCCCGUGCUGGGCAUGGCCAAGCAGGACACGGUGCGUGUGGCGUUCUGCUCCGCUCUGCAGCGCUUCAGCGAGGGUGCCCUGGAGUACCUGGCCAACCUGGACCGAGCCCCAGACCCCACGGUCAGGAAGGACGCCUUUGCCACCGACAUCUUCAGUGCCUACGAUGUUCUCUUCCACCAGUGGCUGCAGAGUCGCGAAGCCAAGCUGCGUCUUGCCGUGGUGGAGGCUCUGGGGCCUAUGAGCCAUCUGCUGCCCAGUGAGAGGCUGGAAGAGCAGCUGCCCAAGCUCCUCCCUGGGAUCCUCGCCCUCUACAAGAAGCACGCAGAGACCUUCUACUUGUCCAAGAGCCUGGGCCAGAUCCUCGAGGCGGCCGUGAGUGUGGGCAGCCGCACACUGGAGACCCAACUGGAUGCCCUCUUGGCUGCACUGCACUCCCAGAUCUGUGUGCCUGUGGAGUCCUCAAGCCCCCUGGUGAUGAGUAACCAGAAGGAGGUGCUGCGCUGCUUCACUGUGCUGGCCUGCAGCUCGCCUGACCGCCUACUGGCCUUCCUGCUGCCCAGGCUGGACACCAGCAAUGAGAGGACCCGCGUGGGCACCCUGCAGGUGGUCAGACAUGUCAUCAACUCGGCUGCUGCUCAGAUGGAAGAUAAAAAGCCCUUUAUCCUGUCUUCCAUGAGGCUUCCUCUCCUGGAUACCAACAGCAAGGUGAAGCGGGCAGUGGUGCAGGUGAUCAGCGCCAUGGCCCACCACGGCUACCUGGAGCAGCCUGGAGGUGAGGCGAUGAUCGAGUAUAUCGUGCAGCAGUGCGCGCUGCCCCCCGAGCAGGAGCCUGAGAAGCCAGGCCCCGGCAGCAAGGACCCCAAGGCCGACAGUGUGCGGGCCAUCAGCGUGCGCACCCUCUACCUGGUCAGCACCACCGUGGACAGGAUGAGUCACGUCCUCUGGCCAUACCUGCUCCAGUUCCUCAUCCCUGUGCGCUUCACCGGGGCCCUGACUCCGCUCUGCAGGAGCCUCGUGCAUCUGGCGCAGAAGAGGCAGGAGGCUGGGGCAGACGCCUUCCUCAUCCAGUACAACGCCCAUGCGAGCCUCCCGUCUCCCUAUGCUGUAACCGGAAGACUGUUGGUUGUGUCUUCCAGCCCCUACCUGGGGGACGGACGUGGGGUGGCAGCGCUGCACCUCCUCAGUGUUCUGCACCCAAACAUUCACCCUUUGCUGGGUCAGCAUUGGGAGACGACUGUCCCGCUGCUGCUGGGGUACCUGGAUGAGCACACAGAAGAGACCCUGCUACAGGAGGAGUGGGAGGAGAAGCUGUUGAUGUUCCUACGAGACACCCUGGCCAUCAUUUCUGACAACGCGUGGAUCUGCCAGCUGAGCCUGGAGCUGUGCAGGCAGCUGCCCUGCUACGACGAGGCACCCCAGGAGAAGAACUUCCUGUACAAAUGCAUAGGAACCACCCUGGGUGCUGCUUCAAGUAAGGAGGUGGUGAGGAAGCACCUUCAAGAGCUGCUGGAGACGGCCAGAUACCAGGAGGAGGCAGAACGCGAGGGCCUCGCCUGCUGCUUCGGGAUCUGUGCCAUCUCCCACCUCGAGGACACACUGGCCCAGCUGGAGGACUUCGUGAGGUCAGAGGUCUUCAGAAAAUCCAUUGGCAUUCUCAACAUUUUUAAGGAUCGAAGUGAGAACGAGGUGGAGAAGGUGAAGAGUGCUCUGAUCCUGUGCUACGGGCACGUGGCGGCCCGGGCCCCCCGGGAGCUGGUGCUGGCCAAGGUGGAGUCGGACAUCCUCCGGAACAUCUGCCAGCACUUCAACACCAAGGACCCAGCCCUGAAGCUGUGCCUUGUCCAGAGUGUGUGCAUGGUCAGCCGCGCCAUCUGCAGCAGCACCCAGGCUGGCUCCUUCCACUUCACCCGGAAAGCAGAGCUGGUGGCACAGAUGAUGGAGUUCAUCAGGGCAGAGCCUCCAGACUCCCUGAGGACACCUAUUCGGAAGAAAGCCAUGCUCACCUGCACUUACUUGGUCUCUGUGGAGCCUGCGCUGGACGAGCAGGCCCGGGCGGAUGUGAUCCGUGGCUGCCUGCACAGCGUCAUGGCCCUGCUGCCUGAGCCCAAGGAGGAGGACGGAGGCUGCCAGAAGUCCCUGUAUCUGGAGACGCUGCACGCCCUUGAGGAUCUGCUGACGAGCCUCCUGCAGCGGAACAUGACCCCCCAAGGCCUGCAGAUCAUGAUUGAGCACCUGAGCCCGUGGAUCAAGUCCCCAAGAGGUCACGAGCGGGCGCGGGCCCUGGGCCUGAGCGCCCUCCUGCUGCGCUACUUCCUGGAGCACCUGCGUGUCAGCGCCCUGGUGCCCUUCCACAACCUGGGCCUUCUCAUCGGCCUCUUCUCCCCACGGUGUGCGGACCUGUGGCCUGCCACCCGCCAGGAGGCCGUGGACUGUGUCUACUCCCUGCUCUACCUCCAGCUCGGCUAUGAGGGCUUCUCCCGGGACUACCGCGAUGACGUGGCGGAGCGGCUCCUCAGCCUCAAGGAUGGCCUCGUGCACCCUGACCCCGCCAUUCUCUUCCACACCUGCCACAGUGUAGGCCAGAUUAUUGCCAAGCGCCUCCCCCCAGACCAGCUCAUCAGCCUCUUGCUAACCAUGUUUGAGGCCCUGGGAGAUCCCGAAAAGAACUGCUCCCGAGCAGCUACCGUCAUGAUCAACUGCCUGCUGCAGGAGCGGGGCGGCGUGCUCCAGGAGAAGGUGCCCGAGAUCGUGAGCGUGCUGCGCUCAAAGCUUCAGGAGGCCCAGGGAGAGCACGUCCUGCCGGCCGCCCAGCACAGCGUGUACCUCCUGGCCACCCAGCACUGCUCGGCCGUGGUGUCCAGCCUCCUGGGCAGCCCCUUGCCCUUGGACAGGUACCUAGCUCAGACUCUAGGCUUAGGGGUCCCUCUGGAAUGAUGCUCCCCGAGCCCUCCACCCGGCUCUGCACCCCGACUUUCUGCACCCCAGCUUUCUGCAUGAGUUCCCAUGGCUGUAGGCCACGUGGGACAGAAAGUGACAUGGAGACAGGCCCCAGUCUCUCAGGUACACAUGAGGACCGCUCCUCUCCAGGCGUUUUGGGAUCCUCACUGGCCCCGGUGGGCCCUGCACAGCACCCCCACAGGGAAGCUGCUGUUUCUGCCCUCCUCUAAGGUCCCAAAACUGCCUGGCUGCUCUGUCGGCCCCAGGCUCCAGCACACACUGGAGGCUGCCCCUCACCCUGUGUCUUGGUUCCAGCUGCCCCAAGCCUUGUCCUCUGCA
rnacentral:sRNA from 1 species